UACGGAGGGUGCGAGCGUUGUCCGGAAUCAUUGGGCGUAAAGGGCGCGUAGGUGGCCAGGUCAGUUCGUGGUGAAAGCGCGGGGCUCAACUCCGCGUCGGCCAUGAAUACUGCUGGGCUUGAGCACUGUAGAGGCAGGCGGAAUUCCGGGUGUAGCGGUGGAAUGCGUAGAGAUCCGGAAGAACACCGGUGGCGAAGGCGGCCUGCUGGGCAGUGGCUGACACUGAGGCGCGACAGCGUGGGGAGCAAACAGG
rnacentral:rRNA from 1 species